rnacentral:rRNA from 1 species
AUUGAACGCUGGCGGCAUGCUUUACACAUGCAAGUCGAGCGGCAGCACGGGGGCAACCCUGGUGGCGAGCGGCGAACGGGUGAGUAAUACAUCGGAACAUGCCCAGUCGUGGGGGAUAACACUUCGAAAGAAGUGCUAAUACCGCAUACGUCCUGAGGGAGAAAGCGGGGGAUCGCAAGACCUCGCGCGAUUGGAGUGGCCGAUGUCAGAUUAGCUAGUUGGUGGGGUAAAGGCCUACCAAGGCAACGAUCUGUAGCUGGACUGAGAGGAUGAUCAGCCACACUGGGACUGAGACACGGCCCAGACUCCUACGGGAGGCAGCAGUGGGGAAUUUUGGACAAUGGGGGCAACCCUGAUCCAGCCAUUCCGCGUGAGUGAAGAAGGCCUUCGGGUUGUAAAGCUCUUUCGGCAGGAACGAAACGGCGAGCUCUAACAUAGCUUGCUAAUGACGGUACCUGAAGAAGAAGCACCGGCUAACUACGUG